rnacentral:lncRNA from 1 species
CACCAGUUUUUGACAUUCAGAAUAACAGCUUCCAAGUGACACAAUACAGCAGCAUUCAGCACCACACGGUGGUGCACUGUACUGCAAACCCAAUUUGAUUCAUCAUUCAUUAUACAGGACAGAUCGAAAACAUGGAGACACGUCCAGGUCCGGCAACACAACGCAGCAGCAGCAGCGACGAUUCCGGAGACCCGGCGGCCCCAAAGGCCAGCCAGGUACUACUACAUGGCGUACCUCUGGGUCCAGGUCCUCGCGGUGUUCUCGUACUUGUGCCGGUCCGUCUUGUACAUGUGAGCUAUCUCGGGGACCAAAGGAUCGUCGGGGUUUGGAUCAGUCAGCAGGGAGCAGAUGGACAGCAGCACCUGAAAUCGAGCAGAUUGAGGAUGCUGGUA